AGGGAAUCUUCGGCAAUGGACGGAAGUCUGACCGAGCAACGCCGCGUGAGUGAAGAAGGUUUUCGGAUCGUAAAGCUCUGUUGUAAGAGAAGAACGGGUGUGAGAGUGGAAAGUUCACACUGUGACGGUAUCUUACCAGAAAGGGACGGCUAACUACGUGCCAGCAGCCGCGGUAAUACGUAGGUCCCGAGCGUUGUCCGGAUUUAUUGGGCGUAAAGCGAGCGCAGGCGGUUAGAUAAGUCUGAAGUUAAAGGCUGUGGCUUAACCAUAAUACGCUUUGGAAACUGUUUAACUUGAGUGCAAGAGGGGAGAGUGGAAUUCCAUGUGUAGCGGUGAAAUGCGUAGAUAUAUGGAGGAACACCGGUGGCGAAAGCGGCUCUCUGGCUUGUAACUGACGCUGAGGCUCGAAAGCGUGGGGAGCAAACAGGAUUAGAUACCCUGGUAGUCCACGCCGUAAACGAUGAGUGCUAGGUGUUAGACCCUUUCCGGGGUUUAGUGCCGCAGCUAACGCAUUAAGCACUCCGCCUGGGGAGUACGACCGCAAGGUUG
rnacentral:rRNA from 1 species